CUGAUAUUUUCUUUGGUUAUCUAGCUGUAUGAGUAUUGUUUAAUAACAUCAUAAAGCUAGGUUACCGGAGUUAAAACCAGU